UCUCCCUUUUCCACACUUUCACUCGCUGAUACAACCCAAUCUGACCGGGGAUCAGUUACUAAUUAAUUCCACUCUUUCAAUCUCAACUCGUUCUUAGAAAACUGAUCUUGAUUCAGUGCGAUGUAAACAACCUGCUCUAUGCCCACCCACCUUUAUCUUUAGCCAAUCUACACAGUGCAUGCGGCCUUCUCCCAAUCAUUACAUUAAACAACUUUUACUUUAUUCUGAUUGGAUAAUUAUCACCAUAAUGAUUAAUGCCCAUUGUGUAAUACGGGCUUGAUCGCAGUUUGACAACAAGGGGUGCUGCCACCAACAAGGGGUGCUGCCGCACCCCCAGCACCCCUACUUCCCGCGCCUAUGGCAGCUGCAUCAAGAGGACGCGAUUUUUCAACAUUCAUGUCCAGCUUUGCUCAGCGGUGGUUUGUGAGCGUGGAGGGCUAGGUUGUCAGUGAGGGAGUGUCCUUUGUGCUGGGGCUUGCUGUUCUAAUGUCAACUUUCUACAACUUUAACCUGCAAUACCAGGACUAUGCUGCAUGGUCGUUGGAGUUCAUUCAGAGAAUCUGCAUGGGGAUUAAUCCUGAGAGAGGAUCAAAGGCAUACAGUGGACAGGCACCCAGCAGAAAAACUGGAAAGAUGGUCCAGAAGAAACCAUCAACAGUGAACCUGCAUGUCUGCACCCUAAUCAGGAAGCUCAACGACUUCAAGUGGGACUUUGUUUGAUCUUCUCUCAUAGCAUUGUAUUGUUUAGGUGCAGAUACCAUUUGUCAAUUAUCAAUGAACAAUAUAUGCCGAUAAAUACUGAUCGAUUUUGUGUUGUUUAGUUUAGUUAUUGCAGCUGAUAGAGCUGUAUUAUUGUAUUGGCCAGUUUCCCUGUUUGCAGUGUAUUGGGAUCGUG